rnacentral:rRNA from 1 species
UAUCAUAAGCGGAGGAAAGAACUAACAAGGAUUCCCCUAGUAGCGGCGAGCGAAGCGGGAAGAGCUCAAAUUUAUAAUCUGGCACCUUCGGUGUCCGAGUUGUAAUCUCUAGAAGUGUUUUCCGCGUUGGACCGCACACAAGUCUGUUGGAAUACAGCGGCAUAGUGGUGAAACCCCCGUAUAUGGUGCGGACGCCCAGCGCUUUGUGAUACACUUUCAAUGAGUCGAGUUGUUUGGGAAUGCAGCUCAAAUUGGGUGGUAAAUUCCAUCUAAAGCUAAAUAUUGGCGAGAGACCGAUAGCGAACAAGUACCGUGAGGGAAAGAUGAAAAGCACUUUGGAAAGAGAGUUAACAGUACGUGAAAUUGUUGGAAGGGAAACGCUUGAAGUCAGACUUGCUUGCCGGAGCUUGCUUCGGUUUGCAGGCCAGCAUCAGUUUUCCGGGGUGGAUAAUGACGGUUUGAAGGUAGCAGUCUCGGCUGUGUUAUAGCUUUCCGUUGGAUACAUCCUGGGGGACUGAGGAACGCAGCGUGCUUUUUGCGAAAGACUCGUCUUUUUCACGCUUAGGAUGCUGGUGGAAUGGCUUUAAACGACCCGUCUUAACC